AAAGACAGCUGGGGAUUUGCAGCCCCCAAGCAGGAGGAGGGCUCAGAGGAUGAAAAAUUACUAAGAGGAGACAGCAAGGGUAGGACUCCCACUUAAACUGGGCCAGGUGGCCUAAGACAAGGCCUAGGGACAGGCCCAGUUGAAAAGAGGACUCAGAGGAGCCCGUCUGAAGUUUGGUCGAGGAGAGAGUCUUUAUCACGUGUUACGGGAUCUUGGGAAAACUCCCCUUUCCAGGGCUUUGCAGGUGCGGUCAGGAGCUCCUGAGGUGGCCCCCGUGCCGCUGCCCACUGUAUGGACACGCUGUGCAGUGCCCUCUCCUUCAGUGUGGGCUAGCUCAGCGGCUGCUGCCAACAAAGAGAAUACAGCAAAAUGAUGGCAUGUCGCUUCUGACUCUAGGUCACACACAGACCAUGGCUUUCAUCCUGGGCACCCUUUGCUCUCUCUGAGUGAAGCCAGCUGCCAUGUUGUGAGCUGCCCAAUAGAGAGGCCCAUGCACCAAGGACCAGAGGCAGGCCUCUGGCCACCAGCCAGCGAGGCCAGCAAGGCCAGUGAGGAACAGAGGUCUGCGGUCCAGCAACCCACGAGACACCAACUCCUGCCAACAAGCACGUGAGUGAGCCUGGAAGCAGAUCCGUACCCCGUCAAGCUCAGAUGACUGCAGUCCUGGCCAGCAGCUUGACUGCAGCCUGGGAGAGACCACGGGGCAGGGGGCCAGCCAGGCCAUGCGCACACUCCUGACCCACGGAAUCUGGAAGAUAGCAAAUGUGUGUUGUUUUAAGUUGCUGACUUUGGGGACAAUUUGUUACGCGGCUGUGGAUAACUAAUUCGACACAUAAAAAUCAAGUGCUUACAGGGUACCUGGCGCCUUUCCCAUCAUUCUCUCCCCUGCCGUGCUUGGGAGUUCAGCCCAUUUCACAGACAUGGAAGCUGAGACUCAAGAGGUCCCGUGACUUGCUCAAGAGCGUCUAGCUGGAGAGCUGUGAAGCCAGAACACAAGUCCAGGCUCUUUACCCACAAGCCCCAAGAAGAUGGGGCAUCCUACCCAAGACUUGUCAGGGCAUUUCCACCUGCCUCAUUCUUGAGCAUCAAAGUCAGGCAGAUAUUAUGACUCCAUUGGCCAGAUGAGGAAACUGAGGCCCAGAGGGGAGACUGGCUUUUUUAAACUCAUAACACAUAAAGUCAGUGUUAGUUGCAAAGCCAUGGUUGGAACCCAGAGUCCUGAGUUAGGCUCCAGAUCCGUAUUUACCACACCCCAGGCUGCCUCCCCACACCAGUCCUGCUCAGACAGAAUCUCAUGGAACGGGGAUCAAAAGAAGGCAGACAUGAGUGGUUCUCAGCCUGGGUUCCUCAGGCUCAGACCAGGUUCCAGGUGCUGAUGCUGCUGGCGGACGACCACACUUUGAGAACCUCUCUGUCUCCCAAAUCGCUCUCCUGAUGGUUGCCCAAAGACAGACCAGGUCACUCUGCAGAGACCCUGCUUGCCUGACCGGGCACCGCCUCCUCUCAGGGAGCGCGGCACGGCUGAAAGAACCAGGAAGGGCAGGGCCCUGUCUCGUUCGUCUGUCAACCAUUUGCCAGGCAGCUUCCGUAUCUGCUGACCCAUAAAACCCACAGAUGUAAAUGACACACCCCAAUUUCAUAAGGAAACAUUUUUUUAAAAAAUUCAUUUCUUUUAUCAUAACCGUACCAAAAGCUUCUCCUUUUGUUCAGGUAAAUCGAGUAUUACAGGCAGGAAUAUUUUUGUUAAGAAAUGACCAAUAGGAGUCAAUGGGAAGUGAAAUGAUUCUCCCUGCCGUCUGUUUUGUGUUUCCACGCUUCGCCGCCAGGGGCUGGUGUAUUUUUUUUUGGCACUAAAGCUUCCAUCCUCAAAGCUGAUGCUUUGGAUACCAGGUAACUGGUGGAUCCGUGAUACAGACGCAGAUUCAUAUGUGGAUGUGGCUUCAGAGACAGAUAGAGCUGCAGAUACAGACACAGCUGAAGAUGCAGAAGUGAUGUUCCCUAAGGAGAAAGGACACACUUCCUCCCUCCCCUUCCCUCGGCCUAGAAUGUGGAUGCGGAGGGAGCCAACGUGGACACAUCCAGAUGGCAGAGCAACGAGGUGGACGGGGCCUGGGUGCCUAGAAAGCCUCGUGGAGAAAGAUCAACGUUCCAGUCCUGGGCAAUCCUCCCGGGGUCGUCACGGGAGAGAGAAGCCAGCUCCACUCUGACAUGGCUCUGACUAAUACGUCACACACCAUGGCCUCCAGCGGACAAAAAGCUCCUUGAGGGUAGGGACGGAGCUGCCCUCUUUCGCACCAGACCGCCCAGAACAGGGCCCCCCAGCACAUUUCAGUUCUGGUCUGCCCUUCCUGGGCAGGUAACCUGGGGCCAAUGUCCUCCCUGGCCUGUUUCCUCUUCUAUAAAAUGGGACUAAGAAACAUUCUCCUAAGACCAUCGUCAAGCCCAGUGAGAUGUGUGUAAAACCUCAGCCCCAUGCUGGCACAUAACCAGCCACAUAAACGGUGCCUGUUAUCAGCUAUGAGUUUCCAGAAAUCCGGUCCUGUCCCCUCCCCCCGCUUCAAAC
ensembl:lncRNA